rnacentral:rRNA from 1 species
AGUGAACGCUGGCGGCAGGCCUAACACAUGCAAGUCGAACGGCAGCACAAGAGGGCUUGCUCUCUGGGUGGCGAGUGGCGGACGGGUGAGGAAUGCAUCGGAAUCUGCCCAUUUGUGGGGGAUAACCUCGGGAAACCGGGACUAAUACCGCAUACGACCUACGGGUGAAAGCAGGGGAUCUUCGGACCUUGCGCAGAUGGAUGAGCCGAUGCCGGAUUAGCUAGUUGGAGGGGUAAAGGCCCACCAAGGCGACGAUCCGUAGCUGGUCUGAGAGGAUGAUCAGCCACACUGGGACUGAGACACGGCCCAGACUCCCACGGGAGGCAGCAGUGGGGAAUAUUGGACAAUGGGCGCAAGCCUGAUCCAGCCAUGCCGCGUGUGUGAAGAAGGCCUUCGGGUUGUAAAGCACUUUUGUUGGGAAAGAAAAGCAGCCGGUUAAUACCCGGUUGUCAUGACGGUACCCAAAGAAUAAGCACCGGCUAACUUCGUG